rnacentral:rRNA from 1 species
UACGGAGGGUGCAAGCGUUAUCCGGAUUCACUGGGUUUAAAGGGUGCGUAGGCGGGUUGGUAAGUCCGUGGUGAAAUCCCCAAGCUUAACUUGGGAACUGCCGUGGAUACUAUCAAUCUUGAAUAUCGUGGAGGUAAGCGGAAUAUGUCAUGUAGCGGUGAAAUGCUUAGAUAUGACAUAGAACACCAAUUGCGAAGGCAGCUCACUACACAAUCAUUGACUCUGAGGCACGAAAGCGUGGGGAUCAAACAGG